GACGAACGCUGGCGGCGUGCUUAACACAUGCAAGUCGAACGGUAAGGCUCCAGCUUGCUGGGGUACACGAGUGGCGAACGGGUGAGUAACACGUGGGUGACCUGCCCUGCACUUCGGGAUAAGCCUGGGAAACUGGGUCUAAUACCGGAUAGGACCGCACCGUGAGGGUGUGGUGGAAAGUUUUUUCGGUGUGGGAUGGGCCCGCGGCCUAUCAGCUUGUUGGUGGGGUAAUGGCCUACCAAGGCGGCGACGGGUAGCCGGCCUGAGAGGGUGGACGGCCACAUUGGGACUGAGACACGGCCCAGACUCCUACGGGAGGCAGCAGUGGGGAAUAUUGCACAAUGGGCGGAGGCCUGAUGCAGCGACGCCGCGUGGGGGAUGACGGCCUUCGGGUUGUAAACUCCUUUCACCAUCGACGAAGGGUUUCUGACGGUAGAUGGAGAAGAAGCACCGGCUAACUACGUGCCAGCAGCCGCGGUAAUACGUAGGGUGCGAGCGUUGUCCGGAAUUACUGGGCGUAAAGAGCUCGUAGGUGGUUUGUCGCGUCGUCUGUGAAAUUCCGGGGCCUAACUCCGGGCGUGCAGGCGAUACGGGCAUAACUUGAGUACUGUAGGGGAGACUGGAAUUCCUGGUGUAGCGGUGAAAUGCGCAGAUAUCAGGAGGAACACCGGUGGCGAAGGCGGGUCUCUGGGCAGUAACUGACGCUGAGGAGCGAAAGCAUGGGGAGCGAACAGGAUUAGAUACCCUGGUAGUCCAUGCCGUAAACGGUGGGCGCUAGGUGUGGGUUUCCUUCCACGGGAUCCGUGCCGUAGCUAACGCAUUAAGCGCCCCGCCUGGGGAGUACGGCCGCAAGGCUAAAACUCAAAGGAAUUGACGGGGGCCCGCACAAGCGGCGGAGCAUGUGGAUUAAUUCGAUGCAACGCGAAGAACCUUACCUGGGCUUGACAUAUACAGGAUCGCGCCAGAGAUGGUGUUUCCCUUGUGGCUUGUAUACAGGUGGUGCAUGGUUGUCGUCAGCUCGUGUCGUGAGAUGUUGGGUUAAGUCCCGCAACGAGCGCAACCCUUGUCUUAUGUUGCCAGCACGUUGUGGUGGGGACUCGUAAGAAACUGCCGGGGUUAACUCGGAGGAAGGUGGGGAUGACGUCAAAUCAUCAUGCCCCUUAUGUCCAGGGCUUCACACAUGCUACAAUGGUCGGUACAGUGGGUUGCCAGUCCGUGAGGGCGAGCUAAUCCCGCAAAGCCGGUCUCAGUUCGGAUCGGGGUCUGCAACUCGACCCCGUGAAGUCGGAGUCGCUAGUAAUCGCAGAUCAGCAACGCUGCGGUGAAUACGUUCCCGGGCCU
rnacentral:rRNA from 1 species